GAUGAACGCUAGCUACAGGCUUAACACAUGCAAGUCGAGGGGCAGCAUGGUCUUAACUUGCUAAGGCCGAUGGCGACCGGCGCACGGGUGAGUAACACGUAUCCAACCUGCCGUCUACUCUUGGACAGCCUUCUGAAAGGAAGAUUAAUACAAGAUGGCAUCAUGAGUUCACAUGUUCACAUGAUUAAAGGUAUUCCGGUAGACGAUGGGGAUGCGUUCCAUUAGAUAGUAGGCGGGGUAACGGCCCACCUAGUCUUCGAUGGAUAGGGGUUCUGAGAGGAAGGUCCCCCACAUUGGAACUGAGACACGGUCCAAACUCCUACGGGAGGCAGCAGUGAGGAAUAUUGGUCAAUGGGCGAGAGCCUGAACCAGCCAAGUAGCGUGAAGGAUGACUGCCCUAUGGGUUGUAAACUUCUUUUAUAAAGGAAUAAAGUCGGGUAUGGAUACCCGUUUGCAUGUACUUUAUGAAUAAGGAUCGGCUAACUCCGUGCCAGCAGCCGCGGUAAUACGGAGGAUCCGAGCGUUAUCCGGAUUUAUUGGGUUUAAAGGGAGCGUAGAUGGAUGUUUAAGUCAGUUGUGAAAGUUUGCGGCUCAACCGUAAAAUUGCAGUUGAUACUGGAUAUCUUGAGUGCAGUUGAGGCAGGCGGAAUUCGUGGUGUAGCGGUGAAAUGCUUAGAUAUCACGAAGAACUCCGAUUGCGAAGGCAGCCUGCUAAGCUGCAACUGACAUUGAGGCUCGAAAGUGUGGGUAUCAAACAGG
rnacentral:rRNA from 1 species